AUACACGCUGGCGGCGUGCUUAACACAUGCCCGUCGCACGAAGUUUUUCUUUCGGGAGGAACUUAGUGGCGGACGGGUGAGUAACGCGUGGGUAACCUGCCCUGUACAGGGGGACAACAGCUGGAAACGGCUGCUAAUACCGCAUAAGCCCUUAGCACUGCAUGGUGCAUAGGGAAAAGGAGCAAUCCGGUACAGGAUGGACCCGCGUCUGAUUAGCCAGUUGGCAGGGUAACGGCCUACCAAAGCGACGAUCAGUAGCCGAUCUGAGAGGAUGUACGGCCACAUUGGGACUGAGACACGGCCCAGACUCCUACGGGAGGCAGCAGUGGGGAAUAUUGCACAAUGGAGGAAACUCUGAUGCAGCGACGCCGCGUGAGUGAAGAAGUAUUUCGGUAUGUAAAGCUCUAUCAGCAGGAAAGAAAAUGACGGUACCUGACGAAGAAGCACCGGCUAAAUACGUG
rnacentral:rRNA from 1 species